AGGUAAAUAAACAAGCAAACAGUUUCUAUAAUUCUAUGUCUUUCCAUGUUAGGACAACAGUUAUGCCUUACUUCCUUUGUCCUUAAUUAUCUCCAUAUAUGUCUUUCUUUAUUUUUUAUUUUUUUAUAAUAGUAGAUGACUUCAGUAAGGCAAGGCAAAAGCUGAAGGACUACAACAGAAAUGGAACGCCAGUCCUCCAGUCAGAGGAUGAGGGCUCCAUGGCAAAAACGAGAAGAAAAGCGACACAGUAUGUACAUUAUAGAUAAUUGUUGUAUUACUGCAAAAGCUAUGGGUUUAGGGUACAAAAAAAGCCUUUGUUCAUGCCUGCCCAUUGAAUGAUGCUAUUGCCUUGUCAUUACAAUUUGACCUCUGUCUUCACUAGUUACCCAGGAUUUGAAAACGGCAGUACUGACUCUGAAACUGAGCAGACUCCAAAAAGAAGACCAGAGUCUCGGCCUCGGCCUCAACCUCUCCCUAUUAGCGCUACCCUUCCUAGUCUCCCUCCAGCCCCCCUCUCGGACAUCGCAGUGGACAUGGGUCAGGAGUCUCUGGACAACACAGGACAGGGAACCUAUACAGACAUAAGCUGGAAUGUGAGGAGGGAGUCAGACCCCUUCAAUGGUAGGAAUCAUGCUCUGUAGCAAAAUUACAAUACAAAUGAAAGUACAAAGGUGAUGUUCUGUCCUACCAUGUUGCUUUAUUUAACAUUUCUCACUUGCGCACAAUGGCAACGCUCUGACAAACCUCUGCUAGAGUUUUAAUGGAAUUUUUGCACCCACAUUUGAACCUGACUGUUAAACACACCGCAUACUCAAGAACAUCAAAGAAAAUGCUCAGUUUACAUUAAUGUGUAAUAUCAGAAAAGAAAAUUCAGCUAAGAAUUGUGUGUACAUGUGAGUUUCUCUGUUUUUUCAUCAAUCAAAUCAAUAAACCUAAAUCAGCAAAGAAGGCAAUAUAGCAAUGUUCUGACACACCUCUGAACCUGACCGUGUUAUACACGCAGCAUAGAAGAGAAAAUAAUAAUUAUUAAAGAAAAUCAGCUAAUCAGCUGUGUUUAGGUCAGCGUACAAAGAAGGAAAAAUUAAAUUCAGCUAAUUUGAGUGACAGUAUUAAAUGGUUAGUUCACCCAAAAAUGAAAAUGAUGUCAUUAAUGACUCACCCUCAUGUCGUUUCAAACCCGUAAGACCUCAGUUCAUCUUCGGAACACAGUUUAAGAUAUUUUAGAUUCAGUCCGAGAGCUUUCUGUCCCUCCAUUGAAAAUGUAUGUAUGGUAUACUGUCCAUGUCCAGAAAGGUAAUAAAAACAUCAUCAAAGUAGUCCAUGUGACAUCAGAGGGUCAGUUGGAAUUUUUUGAAGCAUCGAAAAUACAUUUUGGUCCAAAAAUAGCAAAAACUACAAAUUUAUGCAGCAUUGUCUUCUCUUCCGGGUCUAAGCUCUUUAAACAACUUUAAACAAAUCUAAGCAACUUUAAACUCUAACAGGUCUCAUUUUUCUUCAGUUGGAACCUCAGUUCCACCAACUUGGAAUUGAUGGCCUGUCCCAGGUGUCCAGCAGUUGCCUUUUCAUGGUGUUUCAUGACAGCAUCUGCAAAACAAAACAAAACAAAACAAAACAAGAAAGAAGAUAAAAAACAUUUGGAUUAGUCAGUUGUUACUUGACAUGAUCCUGGUCAAGUGUUUGUACCCUUAACCCUUAAGGUCACUGCACCGUUGUGUCAAUCACGUUUACACAAUGCCUCCGAAACUUGUGUCCGUCAUAAAAGAAUAUUGGAUCUUAACUACUGAAAGAAGACUAGGACAUAAGCCGCGUUUCCACCGCUGGAACUUUACCCAGGAACUAGGGACUUUGGGCUGGUACUCGGUGUGUUUCCACCGCAGGAACCAGGAUCUAAAUAAAGUUCCGGGUAGAAAAAUGCCCCUCAGAAAGUCCCUGCUCACGAGGUAGUACUUUUUCAAAGGUCCGGAACUUUCGGGGGCGGGACUUGAGCGCUAAACAUGCUGACUGGUUGAGUUCACGCAGCAUUGUGAUUUCAACCACCAUUUAUUCGGAUAAUUUUCAAAAUAUUACUGUUAUUGUAUCAUGAAAUGUAGUUUUAAAAGUAUUUCAGGCGAGAAUGUAGUUGUUGAAAACUCAAAUCUGUGGUUUAUUUAUAAAGACAGCGCCUAUUUAAAAAUGUGUUUCGCCGAUUUCGGAGACGGUCAGCUCCACGCGAUCAGUGGGAGCUCAUUGCUCAUUUAUCCGCCGAGAGCACUCUCAACUCGGCUAGUCCUUCUGAUAUUUGACACAGGCUCUGAUGUCUCUUUAGUGGUUAAACUUAAAAUAUAAUCAGUUUUGUGUAAAUCUAACAGGUAAUCUUUGGUCUUCAUUCAAUUGUGAGACUGACUGCUGUGACACCAGAGAACACGUCAGCAGCGUCGUACGUCAACAGUCACAGCAGUCGCGUUCACAACAGACCCGGAAGAGAAGACAAUCCUGAAUAAAGUCAUCAUUUUUGUUAUUUUUGGACCAAAAUGUAUUUUCAAUGCUUUAAUAAAUUCUAACCUCUGAUGUCACAUGGACUACUUUGAUGAUGUUUUUAUUACCUUUCUGGACGUGGGCAGUAUACCGUACAUACAUUCUCAAUGGAGGGUCAGAAAGCUCUCGGACUAAAUCUAAAAUAUCUUAAACUGUGUUCUGAAGAUGAACGGAGGUCUUACGGGUUUGGAACGACAUGAGGGUGAGUCAUUAAUGACAUAAUUUACAUUUUUAGCUGAACUAACCCUUUAAAAUGAAAUAAAAAGGAAAUUAGAUAUAAUAAUUACAUUUCUAUUAGUAUUGUUAGGCUGUAUAUAUACACAAAAAGGAAAAUUGAUAUAAUAAUUCAUUUCAUUGUAUUGUAGGCUGUAUAUAUACACAUUUCCCUGAACGAAGUACAUUUCUGCGGCUAUUAUAAUGUUUAAAUGAAAACGAAAGGAGGCAGUGGUAUUUGAUAUCAUAGCCCUUUUCGUCUUAUUGUAAAUAUACAGUGAGGUAAAUUGCAGUAGCCAAGGCAAGCUGACUGAUGUUAAGUACGCUGAUGUUUGCAGAAUUACCAGACUUGCAUCAUUUCGUCCGCGAGAGAUCACACUCCCGAGUUGAACUCGCAAGGUCUGAACUACCGAGGAUGCAAGUCCAAAAUUUGCGUACUCUGUAUUGAGAAACACGCGCAGGCUUACGUCACCAGACUAUUUGCCUAAUCUUCACGGUACUUUAGACCGCGGUGGAAACGCUGAAAGCAACAGGUCUGUGGGGAAAAAUAGUUCCUGGGGAAAAAAGUUCCUGGUACAAUUGUUCCGGGUAAUUUCGGUGGAAACGCGGCAAUAGAUAUCACUUUAUGGGUAUACAGCAAAUGUGGGGGAAAUUAUGAUUCACACUGGUGCACUUCUGAAUAGAUGUAUUAUAGCAAACCAAGUUUAAUGAAUCUCACACCUAACAAACAGCAUUAUGGUCAUUUCACACUGUACUUGAACAAACACUUUACUACAUUUAAAGUUUAGAAAAUCUUACUUAUAAUUCCCACCUUCACCAUCGAUCUGGCAUGGCAGAUGACCAUUACAGACUGUUUCACUUUGAAGUGAGGCACAGUCACAGUACUCGGUUCUGUCUUACCAGUAUUAAUUUUCAUUUCAAAGCCCUUUUUUAUUAUCAUCUGUGUCUCAUUUUGAAUUAUGUUGUACCUCUCUGGUUGUAGUGUCCUCAGUGCAGUGUUAAACAGGAUGGCCUUGUAAGACAUACAGGACUCAAAAAAUAUUUGAUAUUUAUUUGACAUAUAUUUUUAAUAUCUGAUAAACUUCUGAAUGUUUGAGGUU
rnacentral:lncRNA from 1 species